ACCUUCUCCAGCCCCACCCCACCCCCGACCUCACUCCAGUAGAGUCACGCCUCUGAGCCGCCCCCUCUACGCCGCACUGAUUUUGCGCUUUGUCACCGCCCUGUGCAUUCCCUCCUGUUUCCUUUCUGUCUCCACUACACCAGCCUAUUUCUUCCUGAACCUUCCUCCUAGGUUCUGCUGAGAACUCGCUUCCCAGAACUCCGCAAGAAGUAACCACCUCAAAAAGUGCUCGGUCUCCUGGGGGCCACGGUGCAGGAUGGGAUGCCUCAGUUCCCUUGACUGUACACUGGGGGAGGGGGCUGGGGUACUGUUCCCUGUCUUCUUCGCUCCUGUGCUGAGGCCGUAUGUAGAGGCCAGAGGUGGAUGAGGUCAGCUGACAUGUGAUUCUGAUGAAGGACAAAGUACAGCUGGACAUCCACCCCUGACCUAAGAGCGGAGGAUCCGGAUCAGCAGCCGCCAGAGGCCUUCUGACCUCACCCUGUGGUACUUACCCAGGAGGGCAGCAAGUGGCCAUGAACCGCUGCUCUCGGCCAGCUCUACCUCCAGUGUCAGCUCCUGUCCCGACUUUUCACCCCAUCCAGAGUGUCUUCUCCCAAGUCUUCUAUUGUUUUCUCCUCUCCUUUGGGUCCCAGUAUCCUCAAAUACAUUUCCUCAAAACCCCACCUUGCCUGGUCUCCUCUUCUAUUUCUCUACGCAACACCCUUACCACCUCCCAACAUCACAUUGCAUAGCUGCAGAAGGGUUCAAGGCCUCACCAGGAACCAAAGCACCCAGCACCAUCAUUACUUUGGACUUGGCAGGCAUCAGAAUGGUGAGAAAGCAAACACCUGUUGUUUAAGCCAUGGUAUUUUGCCACGGCGAUGCUGUGUGUUCUGCAAGCUUGUCUUCUGCCAGCUGUAUUCCCAGUGUCCAAAAAUUCUGGCUACAUGAUGGAGAAUGGAGGAGAGAGGUCGGCCAAGGAAGAUUGCAUUGGGAGUCUGUUGCCUUUCUAUAGUUCUACUCUUCCAGAACACACCAAAGGGAACCCAAUGGCUCCCAACUGCAGCACCUCAUUCCAUGAAGUUCCUCGGGCCCUGGAACAGUGAAGCCAAGUUUAGUGCAACUGGAAACCAACCAUGAGUCACUCUUUAAUGGGUCAGUGGCUUGAUUUUUCAUGUUCCUACAUGCCUAGUAUGCUGAGGUGGUGUCUGUGGGUCCAUUUUUAGCUUUACCUGUUUGGG
rnacentral:lncRNA from 1 species